CUGCUUUUGACUGCCCAGUUGAAGCCUCUUCCUAUGCCUUUUAAAAUUUCACGCACUAUAAGGAGGAAGAGCUCAGGGCUCCCAAAACUUUUUAUUUAGAGGGAAGAAUGCUAGGGAGAUGGGUAUGCAGAGGGUUGACCAAAUUGGAAGAAAAUAUUUAUUCUGUAGUUUGGUGUUGGAAAAGGGAAUUUUCCAAUCAGCCACACCUCAGUGUUGCGGCAAAAUAAUUCUUGGCUCCCCUGGAAACGCAUGGGCAAGGUAGGGCAGAGCUGCUGCUGCUGAUACUGCCACCACCCUGGGCUUCCUGCUGACUCUGGGCUACUCCCUGGGGACAACAGAUUUGCAUUGACGUCCGGGGCUGUCCAGAGGCCCUCAAGAGCCAGUUGUGAGCUGAGCCCAGUAUGGGAAAGAUCUACCUUCUGGAAGCUACUACUACGUGGUGCUUGGAAAGAGGACUCAGGAGAGUGCAGCUUGCUCUGUGAGUGGGUGACAACCUCUUGGCGACUCAGGCUCAGCUGAGGAUGGUGCCAGUGUGCCGGAGACAGCCGUCAUACUGCCGGAUAGAGUGGCUCACUUGCAUGUAUUUGGAACAAAAAAAGGAGAUGCCUGGCAGCCCCGCUCUCUGCAGUGCUGUUGAGCCACCAAUUUUUGUGGUUUUGUGACCACAAGUGCUGACUGAUGCGACAUGACCCCAGUCUUGUCAGUGAAUCAUCACCAGGCUGCUUACUGGAAACUGGAUGCAGCAAGGAAAUAGGAUUUAACCGCUCUCUGCCUCCCAGGGCUGUCCGUCUCCCAGAUGCUGCUCUUCAGGGCUCCUGGCGCCAGUGCUGAGGUGACAGAGCAAAGGUCUGAAAACUGGCCCCUUCACGCAGCAGUGUCCAAAGCGGGGGGCAUGGCACACCCCCUCUGGCUUCCACAUGGCGGGCACAGGCCACAGGCACAGGAUCUCUGCAGAAACCAGGCAGUGGAACAACGCCAACCCCACACUCUCGGGUGCCUGUGUGUGCCACGUCUCAUCCUGGGCCAUCUCCUCUUGGAUCUGCCAGGCGUGUUGGCGAUGAGGACCCUGCGGCAGUGGUUGGGCUCCACCAGCAAGUGGUAAAGCUGGAACUUCUAAAAGGACAAGUCCGGGAGUGACUGCCCCUGCCGGCUGCAGGAGGGCAGGGUCUUCAAGCUGGCUGGGGUGCCGCGCCUGGCCACCACUUCUUUCAUUCUCAGUAUUGGUUAAUUUGCGUCUUUUUUUGUCAGUCUGGCUACAGGUUUACACACUUUAUUGAUCUCCAAGUAGCAACUGUUGGUUUCACUGAUUUCCUCUAUUUUUUUUUCUUUUCUCAAUUUCAUUGAUUUUGGCUCUAUUUUUAUCAUUUCCUUACAUCUGCUAGUUUGGGAUUUAACUUGCUCUUUUUUAGUUUCUUAAGGUGGAAAAUUAGAUCAUUGAUUUGAGACUUUUCUUUUUUUCUAACACAAGUAUAUUAUGCUAUACAUUCCCCUGUAAGCAAUGCUUUAGCUGCAUCCUACAUAUUUGGAUAUUUUGAGAUGUUGUGUUUUUAUUCAAUUCAAAACACUUUCUAAUCUCCCUGCUGACUACUUCUUUUAUGCAUGGGUUAUUUAGAAGUGUCCUGUACACUUUCCAAUUCUUUGGGGAUUGGCUUUGUUAUUGAUUUCUGCUUUCAUUCUAUUGUGAUAAUGCAUGUUGAAUGAUUUCAAUUUUCUGAAGUUUGUUAAAAGUUGUCUUAUUGUCUAGAAUAUGGUCUACUUUGGAGAAUGUUUCAUGUGUACUUGGGGAGUAUAUACUUUUAAAUCACUGUUAUUCAGUGAUUUCUUUCUUUAAAUGGGCAAGUCCCCUACAUGGUCUUCAUACUUUUGGUC
ensembl:lncRNA MIR29B2CHG MIR29B2 and MIR29C host gene